rnacentral:rRNA from 1 species
GAUGAACGCUGGCGGCGUGCCUAAAACAUGCAAGUCGAGCGGUAAGGCCUCUUCGGAGGUACACGAGCGGCGGACGGGUGAGUAACACGUGGGAAUCUACCCCAAACUGAGGGAUAAGCACCGGAAACGGUGUCUAAUACCGCAUAUGGUCUUCGGAUUAAAGCUUCGGCGGCUUGGGAAGAGCCCGCGUAAGAUUAGCUAGUUGGUGAGGUAAAGGCUUACCAAGGCGACGAUCUUUAGCUGGUUUGAGAGGAUGAUCAGCCACACUGGAACUGAGACACGGUCCAGACUCCUACGGGAGGCAGCAGUUAGGAAUUUUCCACAAUGGGCGCAAGCCUGAUGGAGCAACGCCGCGUGCAGGAUGAAGGUUUUCGGAUUGUAAACUGCUUUUAUGUGCGAAGAAUAUGACGGUAACACAUGAAUAAGGAUCGGCUAACUCCGUGCCAGCCGCCGCGGUAA